UACGUAGGGGGCGAGCGUUGUCCGGAUUUAUUGGGCGUAAAGAGCUCGUAGGUGGUUUGGUAAGUCGGAUGUGAAAUCUCCAGGCUCAACCUGGAGGGGUCAUUCGAUACUGCCAUGACUAGAGUUCGGUAGGGGAGUGUGGAAUUCCUGGUGGAGCGGUGAAAUGCGCAGAUAUCAGGAGGAACACCGGUGGCGAAGGCGGGUCUCUGGGCCGAUACUGACGCUGAGGAGCGAAAGCGUGGGGAGCGAACAGG
rnacentral:rRNA from 1 species